UUUUUUUUUUUUGGUCUUUUUGCCUUUUCUAGGGCCGCUCCUGUGGCACAUGGAGGUUCCCAGGCUAGGGGUCUAAUCGAAGCUGUAGCCACCGGCCUACACCACAGCCACAGCAACACGGGAUCCAAGCAGCAUCUGCGACCUACACCACAGCUCACGGCAACACUGGAUCCUUAACCCACUGAGCAAGGCCAGGGACCGAACCCGAAACCUCAUGGUUCCUAGUCGGAUUCGUUAACCACUGUGCCACGACAGGAACUCCGGUUUCACCUUAUUUCUAACGUCUGAAAAAUUUCUGGUAGAGAAUCCAGUAGUAAUUUAGAUUGAAAAUCGUAAUAUAAGGAUAUUCUAAUUCAGGACAGAGGUGCCAGGGCCGCAAAAUGAGUUUGCGAACACUGGUAUGAUUACAGGGACUCUGGUGGAAGAGGCAAGAGAAGCCACGUGAUUCUGAAUAUUUGUUCUCCUGUCUGUGGCUUGGACAAACCAGGCUGUAGCAGUGAUCUGGCCCCCAUUAGAAAAAAUUGGAAAUGAACGUAUCAACCAAACUGUAUUUCCUUUGUACUUUGCACUGCAUAUGUGUAUGAUUAAGGUUGACUCAUUUAGCAAACUGCUUAUAGCUCUCUUUUCAUACGUUUACGUGGUUUUUUUUUGGGGGGUCCCUUUUUUUUAGGGCUGCACCCAUGGCAUAUGGAAGUUCCCAGGCAAGGGAUCCAAUCGGAGCUGCAGCCGCUGGCUUACACCACAGCCACAGCAAUGCGGGAUCCAAGCCGCAUCUGUGACCUACACCACAGCUCACAGCAACGCCGGACCCUUAAUCCACUGAGCGAGGCCAGGGAUCAAACCUGUGUCCUCAUGGAUAAUAGUCAGAUUCGUUUCCACUGAGCCAAGAUGGAAUGCACCUAUGUUUUUUUUUGUUUUCCCAUGAAUACCUUAUACUCAAAGAGCCCUUUCAAGUAGUAUGUACAUAAAUAUGAAAACUGAGUCCUCCCUGCUCGUUAGAGCUUAGUUUCUGGUGCCCCAUCAAACCAGUAAGUCAAUAACACUGUGAUAAAGAAAGGAUCCUAAUACAACCUAACUACUCCCUUUGGGAACCAAACACAGGCUUUACUCAGUGGGGUCACACAUGUCUUCUUACUAACACACCCGCAUCCUCUCCAAAGAACGGCCCCCACAGUAGAGACUUUCACCCUGGGGAGCUCCCCGGGCUACAUGGGCGCCCUUAGCUGGGGAUUACGACAGGGGCGGUCUUUCCCAGGGGCUCCCUAUGUACUGGGCACGCAGUUUAAAACGAGGAGGGUCACUGAGGGCACUGUGGUGAAUUCUUUCAGGUGAUUUACUCAGUAAUGUUCCUGUUCUCCUGGACUAGACUCUCAGAGUUCAAAUUCUUGAUUACAGGGUAUGGCCCUAACGUGCUCGUGCUCAUGGUUAUCAUCAGAACUGCGCUUGGAAAAGCCUCAUUAACAGGCUCUCGACCUUCUUAUGGAGUGUGUUUCCCACAAAAACUGGACAGGAGUCUUCACCUUCCAGCAGAUGUAGGACCAGAGGUGCCUUGCUGCUCACUUGUCACUGGAGCCUUGAUGCCUGGGACUCAAGUUGCUUCCACAUUUGUCCUGAAUCUGGAGAAUGGUAGAAUAUCAGCCAAUAUAGAUUUUCUUACGCACUUUAGUAACUGAUUUAUUGAGACCUACUGCAAACCAACUGGCAGACCUGGGAAGGGCUGACUAUCUUCACGCAGGCGCCAGAUUCAGGAAAAAUCUGUUGCCCAUUUUUGAGGUGGGACAUCUGAGUCAUGAAAACAUUAAGGAGCUUGCCUCGUGGUGCACAGACCUGGUAAGUGGUAGAGUGAGGCCAAGUGGAAGAGCUCCUAUCAGAUGGAACUACAGAUACAUCAGUUUCUAGGCUCACUUUUCUAGCGGGGCAAAACCGUGAGCUAGUGUCAGCAGGUGCGGAUCUAGGCACCAUCUAAAUCCACAAGCUCUAAAGUCCCCGAGAGGAGCCAAGGGCAAAGGGAGGCUCUUUUCAGUGGCAUCUUGGAGAGCAGGUUGCUAAUGGCCCAGAGUACACAGAAAACAAUAAAGAUAAAAGAAAGAAAAAGCUAGGAUUUCAAAGAUGAAGAGUGGUUUGAAACAACUAGGUACAAUGACAAAUUCUUUCAGAAAAAAAGAAUCCGCUCCACCAGAUUUUAAGACUGGAACUUGUGAAAAUGCAGAAUUAUUUUUAUUAUAAAUCUGCUACCUCUGGGGGCCCCCUUGGAGGAAACGGUGCAGCGUGCAUCCUCUGAGGGCUGUGAUGGAUUCUCUGCACGGUGGAAGUGUGUUACCUGUUCUGAAAUAGAAGGCAGCCCUUCAGGCAUCAAGCCUCAGGAGGGCAAAUCUUCUUUGCCUUCCAUCUCCACAUUCUGUUUCCCUUACCAACUUACUUGCUAAUUUGUUUCUGAGUUCUACUUAAAGAACGAACGAAAGCAAACUUAAAAUCAUGCAGCUCAAUUGAAGCAUUAUAUUCUCAAAACUUUUAAUUUAAAUUUUUUUCUGUCUUGGAGAAAUACUAAGAACUAAGUCAAAGCCCCCCCCACCUUUUUAUUAUAAUUUUUAGUCCUUUGGUUUAUUGUGUUCCUUCUGUAGCUGCUAGAACAAUAUUUUAAAUAUGUCUUUGUCAAACCAAUAUUGUAUAUGUUAGGUAAUCCCAGAAUGUCACAUUUGACUGACCUGUGAGUCGAACAGUCCUUAAGCCACACCUAUAUCACAAAAUUCCUUUAUGCCUAAAUAAUUCUGAAUGCUCAAGCACAUCACAACAGAUCGACGGAAAAAUACAAGUGAAUUCACAUGAGCGCCCUUUGUAUUUCUUCUCUUCAGGAUAAUUUACGUAUUACUUUCGGCUAUUGUUUCAGGAAACUAAAAUCCGGAAUCAGAAUGUGAAAUAAGAAUUUGUUUUACCCUUCUCUCAUACAAUACAAAAAAAAAAAAAAAAAA
ensembl:lncRNA